AAGCGGAGGAAAAGAAAAUAACCAUGAUUCCCUCAGUAACGGCGAGUGAAGCGGGAAAAGCUCAAAUUUGAAAUCUGUCAACAUUUCUUUUGUUGUCCGAGUUGUAAUUUCAAGAAGCUGCUUUGAGUGUAGACGAUCGGUCUAAGUUCCUUGGAACAGGACGUCAGAGAGGGUGAGAACCCCGUCUUUGGUCGAUUGGAUAUGCCAUAUAAAGCGCUUUCGAAGAGUCGAGUUGUUUGGGAAUGCAGCUCUAAAUGGGUGGUAAAUUUCAUCUAAAGCUAAAUAUUGGCGAGAGACCGAUAGCGAACAAGUAGAGUGAUCGAAAGAUGAAAAGAACUUUGAAAAGAGAGUUAAAUAGUACGUGAAAUUGCUGAAAGGGAAGCAUUGGAAAUCAGUCUUACCUGGGUGAGAUCAGUAGUCUCUUCGCGAGACUAUGCACUCUGAACCUGUGGUAGGUCAGCAUCAGUUUUCGGGGGCGGAAAAAGAAUAAGGGAAGGUGGCUUUCCGGGUUCUGCCUGGGGAGUGUUUAUAGCCCUUGUUGUAAUACGUCCACUGGGGACUGAGGACUGCGGCUUCGUGCCAAGGAUGCUGACAUAAUGGUUUUCAAUGGCCCGUCUUG
rnacentral:rRNA from 2 species